GGAAUAUUGGUCAAUGGGCGAGAGCCUGAACCAGCCAAGUAGCGUGCAGGAUGACGGCCCUACGGGUUGUAAACUGCUUUUGCGGGAGGAUAAAGGGCGCCACGUGUGGCGUUUUGCAGGUAUCCCGUGAAUAAGGACUGGCUAAUUCCGUGCCAGCAGCCGCGGUAAUACGGAAGGUCCGGGCGUUAUCCGGAUUUAUUGGGUUUAAAGGGAGCGCAGGCUGAUUAUUAAGCGUGACGUGAAAUGUAGCAGCUCAACGGCUGAACUGCGUCGCGAACUGGUAGUCUUGAGUGAGUUCGAUGUUGGCGGAAUUCGUGGUGUAGCGGUGAAAUGCUUAGAUAUCACGAAGAACUCCGAUUGCGAAGGCAGCCAACAAGGCCUUUACUGACGCUAAAGCUCGAAGGUGCGGGUAUCGAACA
rnacentral:rRNA from 1 species